rnacentral:lncRNA from 1 species
GUUUAAUAAACAGGUCUGAGAGUGUUCACUGUAAAGAGAGGUUUAAUAAACAGGUCUGAGAGUGUUCACUGUGAGGAGAGGUUUAAUAAACAGGUCUGAGAGUGUUCACUGUGAGGAGAGGUUUAAUAAACAGGUCUGAGAGUGUUCACUGUGAGGAGAGAUUUAAUAAACAGGUCUGAGAGUGUUCAGUGUGAAGAGAGGUUUAAUAAACAGGUCUGAGAGUGUUCACUGUAAAGAGAGGUUUAAUAAACAGGUCUGAGAGUGUUCACUGUGAAGAGAGAUUUAAUAAACAGGUCUGAGAGUGUUCACUGUAAAGAGAGGUUUAAUAAACAGGUCUGAGAGUGUUCACUGUGAGGAGAGAUUUAAUAAACAGGUCUGAGAGUGUUCAGUGUGAAGAGAGGUUUAAUAAACAGGUCUGAGAGUGUUCACUGUAAAGAGAGGUUUAAUAAACAGGUCUGAGAGUGUUCACUGUGAGGGAGGUUUAAUAAACAGGUCUGAGAGUGUUCACUGUGAGGAGAGGUUUAAUAAACAGGUCUGAGAGUGUUCACUGUGAGGAUAGAUUUAAUAAACAGGUCAGAGAGUGUUCAGUGUGAAGAGAGGUUUAAUAAACAGGUCUGAGAGUGUUCACUGUGAAGAGAGAUUUAAUAAACAGG